rnacentral:lncRNA from 1 species
AUUGAGGUCUAUAGGGUCUAAAAUUGAACAUUAUUUAAUUUCAUCAAAAAUUGAAUUCUUGGGGGUUCUAUGAUAUGCUGAAUCUAACCAUAUAUUUAGAUUGGAUUUGGACCAUAAUAGGUAAAUGUCCAUUUAAAAAAUUUUUAAGUUUUUAAGUUAAAGUUCUUAGACCACAUUCAUUCUGUGUCAGAAACCUAUGUUGUGUCCAUACUUGCCCAACCUCUGCAGUCAUAUAAAGCUGUGCCCUGCGGAGCAUCUGGUUGUUUUAUAUAUUUAUUACAGGGUAUUUGUUUAUAAAUAGGAAUAUUUCACAUUUCCCCCCAAAUUGUAAUAAGCAAUUACAGUGAUGUUUACCAAUGAAAUCUGGGACAAUAAAUCACUCAGAAAAUAGUUUGUCUUAUAGUUCAUCCUAAACCCUGUGAAAGUAUUAUUUGAAUACAGGAUAAAUAUUUUCUUUGAUCCCCCCCCCCUUUUCAACAAAAUAGAAUAAGUACACAGUGACAUGCUUAUUUGCUACUUAGUCCCAUUGUGUUUAUUUUAAAACCAGUUUAUAGCCAUUUCCCCAACAAACCAUCUUUUCACAGAACACAGACAUUUGUACCUAUGGUUUCAAAGAUUUGUCCAUCCUGAGUGCACAGGAAUUUAUUUUGGGGGUUUGUAAGGGAAAAGGACAAAAAAAAUGUUCCCAUCCAUUAUUAUCUUAGUUGUUAUUAAAAAUGAAAGUUUGUGUAAAAGCUAUGAUGAUAUGAGAAUAUGGAAUGACACAAAAAUGGCAACUUCUUUAUAAAUAUAACUUUUUUUUCAAAG